GCUCAACCGAGGAAGUGCUUCGAAAACUGGUAAACUUGAGUGCAGAAGAGGAAAGUGGAACUCCAUGUGUAGCGGUGGAAUGCGUAGAUAUAUGGAAGAACACCAGUGGCGAAGGCGGCUUUCUGGUCUGUAACUGACGCUGAGAUUCGAAAGCAUGGGUAGCAAACAGGAUUAGAUACCCUGGUAGUCCAUGCCGUAAACGAUGAGUGCUAAGUGUUGGAGGGUUUCCGCCCUUCAGUGCUGCAGCUAACGCAUUAGGCACUCCGCCUGGGGAGUACGAUCGCAAGAUUGAAACUCAAAGGAAUUGACGGGGGCCCGCACAAGCGGUGGAGCAUGUGGUUUAAUUCGAAGCAACGCGAAGAACCUUACCAGGUCUUGACAUACCAUGAAAAGCUAAGAGAUUAGUCUUUCCCUUCGGGGACAUGGAUACAGGUGGUGCAUGGUUGUCGUCAGCUCGUGUCGUGAGAUGUUGGGUUAAGUCCCGCAACGAGCGCAACCCUUAUUAUCAGUUGCCAGCAUUCAGUUGGGCACUCCGGUGAGACUGCCGGUGACAAACCGGAGGAAGGUGGGGACGACGUCAAAUCAUCAUGCCCCUUAUGACCUGGGCUACACACGUGCUACAAUGGUCGGUACAACG
rnacentral:rRNA from 1 species